rnacentral:lncRNA from 1 species
UUUAAUGCUUUUGGUGCUGCUAAUUCAGUGUGACAAAAAUAGCUGCUUUAUGGCUAUUUUAUUGAAUUACAAAAUAGGGAUGACAAAAAAUUAAUACGGAGGAAAUCAGACAAGCAUUUGUUUUUCAAAAAGAGCCAACUUCAUUGCUUCAUAACCAGGUGGACAAAGUCUGGCUUUAAGGAAGUGUAUGAAACAGAAAGGAAAUCCUUUCCAUUUCCUUUGCAUACACUUUAUGCGUAAAAUUCAGCAGAGUGUAGGGGACGCUUGGCAAAUUUUCAAUAAACUGUUUUCUAAGUGUUAAGAAUUGCAUAUUUCUGAAAAGAAAUCGCAGAGAGCGUUCUAGCUCAGUUCUUUGUGUCUUCUGAAAAAAAAACACAGACUCUUUGAUACAUCUUUACCUUACCCAACUCAAAGUUUAUUCUAUUAUGUAUACCUGCAGUGUUUGGGAAAAUGCAUGUAUUUUGACUGUUCGUACAACUUUGUCAAGUUUUUAACUUUGCUUUCAGAUCGUUUGCAGGUCUCACCGAUCCUUUGUCCACAAAUGAAUACAGACAAAAUAAAACUGUAUUUAGGGCCUAACAAAGUGUAAUCUAAUUUUUGUCAUUCACAUUGUUGCACUCUGGCUACUUGUUGCUGUAGGCUUCCUGGCAGUGAUGUUUUAUGGUUUUAAAGUGUUUCAUCAUAUAAUACCUGUGGAAUUUGUAAAUUAUUUCUUUUCAUCUUCAGUAAUUCCAUUGAGAAAUGUUCUUUUAAUUCAGCCCUUCUGUUUGGUAUGAGCUCUUACACAUUUUUUGGUUAAUAUUUCAUCCUUAGUGCAUUCAAUUUAUGAUUCUGUUUUAGACACUAGCUCUCAUUAGCUUUAUGCUUUUUCCGCAGACUGGUGAAUUCUCAGCUCGCUUCCUCUUGAAGUUGCCUGUAGAUUUCAGCAAUAUUCCUACAUACCUUCUCAAGCAGGUGGGCAGUCACUCUUUCAGUCAGUUACUGUGGAAGCCCACCGCAAGGCCAAUGUUACUAUAUUGAGAGUACACCGUGAAAGAUGUGUCUAACAUUAACGUCAGAAUGAAGUGCCAGAACUCUUACUGCAGACAAGAUUUGAGUCAGCUGAUGCUACCAACACCCAUCUUCCCUUUCAACUAUGUCUGACUGCUUACUCAGCUUUUUACUUUUAAAUAUUUGUUAAGGAGAGCAGCUACUUAAUGUUUAGCAACUAAUGUGUUGAGAUGAAAAUGUCAGUGUAAAUCCAUUGACCUCCUCCUCAUCUUUUUGUUACAAGUCUUUUGUUACUGUUAGGUCACAACUGCAAGUGUGAAUCCUGAGUGUUUCUCCAAAUAGAGUCUCAAGCUAAGAAUCUUGGAAAUAAAGGCAGGCACAACUAUUCUAUAACUGAAAUU